AUGAACGCUGGCGGCGUGCCUAAUACAUGCAAGUCGAGCGAACAGACGAGGAGCUUGCUCCUUUGACGUUAGCGGCGGACGGGUGAGUAACACGUGGAUAACCUACCUAUAAGACUGGGAUAACUUCGGGAAACCGGAGCUAAUACCGGAUAAUAUAUUGAACCGCAUGGUUCAAUAGUGAAAGACGGUUUUGCUGUCACUUAUAGAUGGAUCCGCGCCGCAUUAGCUAGUUGGUAAGGUAACGGCUUACCAAGGCGACGAUGCGUAGCCGACCUGAGAGGGUGAUCGGCCACACUGGAACUGAGACACGGUCCAGACUCCUACGGGAGGCAGCAGUAGGGAAUCUUCCGCAAUGGGCGAAAGCCUGACGGAGCAACGCCGCGUGAGUGAUGAAGGUCUUCGGAUCGUAAAACUCUGUUAUUAGGGAAGAACAAAUGUGUAAGUAACUAUGCACGUCUUGACGGUACCUAAUCAGAAAGCCACGGCUAACUACGUG
rnacentral:rRNA from 1 species